AUGGUAGGAUAGAGGCCUACCAUGGUGGUAACGGGUAACGGGGUGUUAGGGCACGACACCGGAGAGGGAGCCUGAGAAACGGCUACCACAUCCAAGGAAGGCAGCAGGCGCGCAAAUUACCCAAUCCCGACACGGGGAGGUAGUGACAAUAAAUAACAAUACAGGGUUCUUUGAAUCUUGUAAUUGGAAUGAGUACAAUUUAAAUCUCUUAACGAGGAACAAUUGGAGGGCAAGUCUGGUGCCAGCAGCCGCGGUAAUUCCAGCUCCAAUAGCGUAUAUNAAAGUUGUUGCAGUUAAAAAGCUCGUAGUUGAAUUUCGGGAUCAAUACGUCGGUCGUGCUUUCGGGUACGUACUGGCGUCAUUGGUUUCUCCUUUCUGACGAACCAUGAUGUCAUUAAUUUGGUGUUAUGGGGAGUUAGGACUGUUACUUUGAAAAAAUUAGAGUGUUUAAAGCAGGCAUUAGCUUGAAUACAUUAGCAUGGAAUAAUGAAAUAGGACGUUCGAUCCUAUUUUGUUGGUUUCUAGGAUCAACGUAAUGAUUAAUAGGGAUAGUUGGGGGCAUUAGUAUUCAAUUGUCAGAGGUGAAAUUCUUGGAUUUAUUGAAGACUAACUACUGCGAAAGCAUUUGCCAAGGAUGUUUUCAUUAAUCAAGAACGAAAGUUAGGGGAUCGAAGACGAUCAGAUACCGUCGUAGUCUUAACCAUAAACUAUGCCGACUAGGGAUCGGAUGAUGUUAAUUUUUUAAUGACUCAUUCGGCGCCUUACGGGAAACCAAAGUGUUUGGG
rnacentral:rRNA from 1 species